CACACGACUCUCGGCAACGGAUAUCUCGGCUCUCGCAUCGAUGAAGAACGUAGCGAAAUGCGAUACCUGGUGUGAAUUGCAGAAUCCCGCGAACCAUCGAGUCUUUGAACGCAGGUUGCGCCCGAGGCCACUCGGCCGAGGGCACGCCUGCCUGGGCGUCACGC
rnacentral:rRNA from 2 species